rnacentral:misc_RNA from 1 species
CCUCCUGGCUUCUUCCCUUAUCUCCUUUCGUGAGAAAACAACUUAGCAGCCAUCUCCCGCAUUCCAUGCUACCACAAACAAAGCAAACCCAAAAGAAAAGAAAAGAAAAGAAAAGAAAGACCCACUAGGCCACCAAAGUCAGUGAAUGUUUGAGGGUCACCAACAGAUAUGUACUGGUAGACUAUAGCACAAAAGCAAUCCAUUCCACCCCUUACCCUAAAAAAAUUUUUUUUU